CUUAGAGAAGAAGGAAGGAACCAUGCUCAUCUUGGAGGGAAGAAGCAUCUUGGAUCUGGAAGUUUUGCACCAGCUACCAUCGUUUCAAGGUGUUGGUGUUUGGAACCGUGUUUUGGGAGUUUGAUAUUUCAGUUCUGACCGACAUUAUGAGGUGAGUUGUCCUCACUAUACUAACAGGGUCGAAGGCACCAAGGUCGAAGGCACCAAUGUCCUCACUAUAUCCACAGAAGAUAUUGAGCAACCCGUUGAUCAACAAGAAGAGCAGCCGCAUCCAAGGGGAAAGAGCAAUGUAAGGGUGGGUGUGGCGAGAGAGGACAACCAGUGCAUCAGAAUGCACCAAUGGGAGCUACUACUUUUGGCGAGGAUACUAUGGCUGGUUAUUUUGAGCAAAUGACCUUAAUCAUGAAUUGGAUUGGAGGGAAGAUGGAGAGUAUGAUCCAGCACUUCAACGUUACACAACCACCACAUUUGUGAGAUCACUAUCCAUUUUGUCUGACAUGGAGUGAGUAUAGGACAAGACGUGGAGAUGGAUCCAGAACGAGCGGAGCACAAGGGGAUGAGUAUUACUUUAUUGCGGAUUUGGUGAGCUAUCGUGAGCGGGAUGAUGAGAGAAUAGAGAUAGGAGCGUUCGAGUAAAGUCGUGUCUUUUAGAGUCAAGAUUCGAGACCCGGGAUUUUUAAUAAGUGCGGGGUAAAUUUCAUAAGAAAAUAAAGAGAUAAGGGAAGAGUCAAAGAAAUCAUAGAGUUUUGGAUGGGUCUAAAAGCAUUUAUAUAUUCAGUUGCACUUGACUUGCAUCGAAGAAUUAUUAUGCAAAUACAUUAUGUGAAAUCCAGUUUACACGGCGUGGACCUUAACUCCACGUCGUGAGUUUAGAACCUAUCGUGAUAUCAAAUACGAUUUCAAUCGAUAACACAUCGUGGAUUCCAAUACCACGUAGUGAUCUGCAUUAUUGGGAUGUUCCUUUUUCUCUCAGCCAUAAAAUAUGACGUAUGCUUUCCUACAUUGAUUAACUAUGCUUUGAAGAUUUUGUACACUACAUUUGUUGAAGAUUUAAGUCUCAAAUUCACAUUUCAUCGGCACAUUCACAUAUCUCAGAAUAUCCAAGUUCAAUUCACAUAUUCAA